rnacentral:rRNA from 1 species
UGGGGAAUUUUGGACAAUGGGCGAAAGCCUGAUCCAGCAAUGCCGCGUGUGUGAAGAAGGCCUUCGGGUUGUAAAGCACUUUUGUCCGGAAAGAAAUGGCUCUGGUUAAUACCUGGGGUCGAUGACGGUACCGGAAGAAUAAGGACCGGCUAACUACGUGCCAGCAGCCGCGGUAAUACGUAGGGUCCAAGCGUUAAUCGGAAUUACUGGGCGUAAAGCGUGCGCAGGCGGUUGUGCAAGACCGAUGUGAAAUCCCCGAGCUUAACUUGGGAAUUGCAUUGGUGACUGCACGGCUAGAGUGUGUCAGAGGGGGGUAGAAUCCCACGUGUAGCAGUGAAAUGCGUAGAGAUGUGGAGGAAUACCGAUGGGCGAAGGCAGCCCCCUGGGCCAAAUACUGACGCUCAUGCACGAAAGCGUGGGGGAGCAAACAGGAUUAGAUACCCUGGUAGUCCACGCCCUAAACGAUGUCAACUAGUUGUUGGGGAUUCAUUUCCUUAGUAACGUAGCUAACGCGUGAAGUUGACCGCCU